GACGUGAGGGUGAUCUGGCCACAACACUUGUCACCCCACUGAUGGCUAGCGUUCACUCAGCUGAUCUGGCUGGCCCGGUGGGGUUCCCUUCCUCCCUCACCGGGACAUGCGCGUCCCUCCCAAAGCUGGACUCUCUGUCCAAGAAGACAACCUUUCCUGACAGAGAGGACCGACUUUGGUCAAGGGGAUAGGAGUAGCUGUUCUCUCCAGCAGAGCCUUGAAACAAGCUCUCGAGGUCCAUUUGUAGGAGAAGGCGGGGUACUCUAGCUUCCAAGACCCCAGACACCCAUAAAGCACUGCAUGCGUCAGUCUACCUUUCUUU
ensembl:misc_RNA 7SK 7SK RNA